ACACGUAUGUGUUUAUGUUUACGCUCAUAUGCUUACCGUGACUGUUAUUACAGAUUGUAUAUUUUCUAAUAAACGUGAAAAAUAAAAUUAUUAUUUUAGAUUCAGAGCGUAACGAGGAAUGUAUUGGUUUUACAAUGAUAUUUUUAUUAUUAUUAUUUUUUUUUUUUUUUUAGAUUCUGCGAACAGUUUUUCUAUCAAAAAUUCUGCUCUGAUGUAUCGAGUGUAGC